AUCGUAACUCCUACGGGAGGCAGCAGUGGGGAAUAUUGGACAAUGGGCGAAAGCCUGAUCCAGCCAUGCCGCGUGUGUGAAGAAGGUCUUCGGAUUGUAAAGCACUUUAAGUUGGGAGGAAGGGCAUUAACCUAAUACGUUAGUGUCUUGACGUUACCAACAGAAUAAGCACCGGCUAACUCUGUGCCAGCAGCCGCGGUAAUACAGAGGGUGCAAGCGUUAAUCGGAAUUACUGGGCGUAAAGCGCGCGUAGGUGGUUUGUUAAGUUGAAUGUGAAAUCCCCGGGCUCAACCUGGGAACUGCAUCCAAAACUGGCAAGCUAGAGUAUGGUAGAGGGGAGUGGAAUUUCCUGUGUGGCGGUAAAAGGCGUAGAUAUAGGAAGGAACACCAGUGGCGAAGGCGACUACCUGGACUGAUACUGACACUGAGGUGCGAAAGCGUGGGGAGCAAACAGGAUUAGAUACCCGAGUAGUCCUAGAGC
rnacentral:rRNA from 1 species